rnacentral:rRNA from 1 species
UAACCCUACGGGAGGCAGCAGUGGGGGAUAUUGGACAAUGGGGGAAACCCUGAUCCAGCGAUGCCGCGUGAGGGAAGAAGGUUUUCGGAUUGUAAACCUCUGUGGAGGGGGACGAUAAUGACGGUACCCCUUUAGGAAGCCACGGCUAACUACGUGCCAGCAGCCGCGGUAAUACGUAGGGGGCAAGCGUUAUCCGGAUUUACUGGGUGUAAAGGGAGCGUAGACGGCAGCGCAAGUCUGGAGUGAAAUGCCGGGGCCCAACCCCGGAACUGCUUUGGAAACUGUGCAGCUCGAGUGCAGGAGAG